UACGUAGGGGGCUAGCGUUGUCCGGAUUUAUUGGGCGUAAAGAGCGUGUAGGCGCCGGGUAAGUCCGGUGUGAAAACUCGAGGCUUAACCUCGAGAUGUCAUCGGAAACUAUUCGGCUAGAGUCCGGAAGAGGAGAGUGGAAUUCCUGGUGUAGCGGUGAAAUGCGCAGAUAUCAGGAAGAACACCUAUGGCGAAAGCAGCUCUCUGGGACGGUACUGACGCUGAGACGCGAAAGCGUGGGGAGCGAACAGG
rnacentral:rRNA from 1 species